ACGGCUGCGGCAUAAAGUACGUUUUACAUUAGUUACGUCGCAGUUUUAAGUGGAAAGUCAAGUAAUUGAUAGUAUAGUUACAUCUUGCCACAAGAGGAAUAAACGACUAAAAAAUGCACAUAAAGAAAAAGAACGAGAUACAGACUGCAGUACAAGAUAAUAAACGUGAUGAUGUGAUUAGUCCGAGCCUUUUAUUUCCACGACUGAUAAAAAAAUCGAAGAAAGGAUUAAAAAGUCACGAAAAAAGCAUGCAGUAAACAAAAAUGUUAAAACAAAUUCAAUAGAUUUAGAUAACAAUAUAGAAAACAAGCCACCUACUGCAUCACUGGCUAGAUUGCAAAAGAAAAAGAAGAACAUUAACGAGCAGAUUAAUAUUAACAUGCGAUCCAAAGCUCAGAGAUCAGCGUUAAAUGGUUGGGAUUGUUGGAAAUGUGAAAAAUAUUACAAGAGUCUAUCUUUGUCUAAAACAGAGUUACAGAAGCAAAAAAAUAAAUGCUCAAGACAUAGGAAGAAAUAUGAGAGACCACAUACAUCAAAAGGAUUUUGGGAACCAGAAAUUCCUGAGACACCAUUAACCAUGCACACAACAAAAAAAUAUAAUUAC